rnacentral:rRNA from 1 species
GUCUCUAGCCAAACUAUCCCAAAUGCACCUGAUCUCGGAAGCUAAGCAGGGAUGGGCCUGGUUUGUAAGUGAAUGGGAGACAGAGGGUGGAUCUAGCAAUAUACC